AAGCCUAAUACAUGCAAGUCGAGCGGUAGCACAGGGAGCUUGCUCCUGGGUGACGAGCGGCGGACGGGUGAGUAAUGUCUGGGAAACUGCCUGAUGGAGGGGGAUAACUACUGGAAACGGUAGCUAAUACCGCAUAACGUCGCAAGACCAAAGAGGGGGACCUUCGGGCCUCUUGCCAUCAGAUGUGCCCAGAUGGGAUUAGCUAGUAGGUGGGGUAAUGGCUCACCUAGGCGACGAUCCCUAGCUGGUCUGAGAGAAUGACCAGCCACACUGGAACUGAGACACGGUCCAGACUCCUACGGGAGGCAGCAGUGGGGAAUAUUGCACAAUGGGCGCAAGCCUGAUGCAGCCAUGCCGCGUGUAUGAAGAAGGCCUUCGGGUUGUAAAGUACUUUCAGCGAGGAGGAAGGCAUUGUGGUUAAUAACCACAGUGAUUGACGUUACUC
rnacentral:rRNA from 1 species